rnacentral:rRNA from 1 species
UCAGUAACGGCGAGUGAAGCGGCAACAGCUCAAAUUUGAAAUCUGGCUCCUUCGGGGCCCGAGUUGUAAUUUGCAGAGGAUGCUUCGGGUACGGGUUCCUUCCGAGUUCCCUGGAACGGGACGCCAUAGAGGGUGAGAGCCCCGUCUGGUAGGACACCCAGCCCGUGUGAAGCUCCCUCGACGAGUCGAGUAGUUUGGGAAUGCUGCUCUAACGGGAGGUAUACUCCUUCCAAGGCUAAAUACCGGCUGGAGACCGAUAGCGCACAAGUAGAGUGAUCGAAAGAUGAAAAGCACUUUGAAAAGAGAGUCAAAUAGCACGUGAAAUUGUUGAAAGGGAAGCGCUCGCUACCAGACAUGGGUUCGGCGGUUCAACCGGGGCCACGCCCCGGGGCACUCCGCCGGCCCAGGCCAGCAUCAGCUUUCCGUCGGGGGCAAAGGCGUCGGGAAUGUGGCUCUCCUUCGGGGGAGUGUUAUAGCCCGGCGUGUCAUACCCUUCGGGGGGCUGAGGUACGCGCUUCUGCAAGGAUGCUGGCGUAAUGGUAGCUAGUGAC